UUUUGAUGGACUGAUAUGCCACAGAGAGGAUCCAGAGAGCCCAUCUCCGGUCAGUUAUCUGUAUUUGUAUGUCAACUACAGCAUCAAAAAGCAUAGGCAUGGAUACUAAGGACCCCCUCUGUACACCAACGCCAGUCCAAAGGACAGUGUGUCACUGUG
ensembl:lncRNA LINC02790 long intergenic non-protein coding RNA 2790